AUUGAACGCUGGCGGCAGGCCUAACACAUGCAAGUCGAACGAGUGGCGGACGGGUGAGUAAUGUCUGGGAAACUGCCUGAUGGAGGGGGAUAACUGCUGGAAACGGUAGCUACUACCGCCUACCAUCGGAUGUGCCCAGAUGGGUUUAGCUAGCGGGUGGGGUAACGGCUCACCUAGGCGACGAUCCCUAGCUGGUCUGAGAGUAUGACCAGCCACACUGGAACUGAGACACGGCCCAGACUCCUACGGGAGGCAGCAGUGGGGAAUAUUGCGCAAUGGGCGAAAGCCUGAGGGAGCCAUGCCGCGUGUGUGAAGAAGGCCUUCGGGUUGUAAAGUUCUGUCAGCGGGGAGGCGUUACCCACAGAGGAAGCACCGGCUAACUCCGUGCCAGCAGCCGCGGUAAUUC
rnacentral:rRNA from 1 species